rnacentral:rRNA from 1 species
GGAGGAGGCAAGCGUUGUCCGGAAUCAUUGGGCGUAAAGAGCGCGUAGGCUGUUUUUCAAGUCAUAUGUGAAAACCUCAGGGCUUAACUUGAGGACUGCAUAUGAAACUGGGAAACUUGAGUGCAGUAGGGGAAAGUGGAAUUCCUGGUGUAGCGGUGAAAUGCGCAGAUAUCAGGAAGAACACCGGUAGCGAAGGCGGCUUUCUGGGCUGCUACUGACGCUGAGGCGCGAAAGCUAGGGGAGCAAACAGGAUUAGAUACCCCGGUAGUCCUAGCUGUAAACGAUGGACACUAGGUGUGGGAAGUUAUCGACGCUUUCCGUGCCGGAGCUAACGCAUUAAGUGUCCCGCCUGGGGAGUACGGUCGCAAGACUA